rnacentral:rRNA from 1 species
AAGACCUUGCGCUUUUGGAGCGGCCGAUGCCUGAUUAGCUAGUUGGUGGGGUAAUGGCCUACCAAAGCUUCGAUCAGUAGCUGGUCUGAGAGGACGGCCAGCCACACUGGGACUGAGACACGGCCCAGACUCCUACGGGAGGCAGCAGUGGGGAAUUUUGGUCAAUGGGCGCAAGCCUGAUCCAGCCAUGCCGCGUGAGUGAAGAAGGCCUUCGGGUUGUAAAGCUCUUUCAGCCGGGAAGAAAAGGUUGCGAUUAAUAAUCGCAAUUUAUGACGGUACCGGAAGAAGAAGCACCGGCUAACUACGUGCCAGCAGCCGCGGUAAUACGUAGGGUGCGAGCGUUAAUCGGAAUUACUGGGCGUAAAGGGUGCGCAGGCGGUUUUGUAAGUCAGAUGUGAAAUCCCCGGGCUUAACCUGGGAACU